CUGCAGUGCCGAGUGACACAGCCAGGCGACAUAGUCACUGAGCACUAACUUCUAUUAAAUGCAGGCAGACUGUGAGAACCCUAUCGGAACUGCAUCAAGACACGAGAGGAGCAAAGGGGUAGCUGCAAAGUUUUGGAUGAGGCCUCUGCAGGCAACUGGAAGCACAGUGUACCCAGGUGGAGCCCAACCUCAUCAGUAUCUUUCCUUCCGGCAAACUGACAAGGCUGGAUAUAGUCAAUGACUCAAGUGGAUUUGAUUGCCUAAGAGGUACAAGUCUCUGAAUAUACAGUUCCCAAAUGCAGAGUAGGAAUAUUCAUCCUCAUUCUACUUUCUGAAGUUGCCAUUUCACAAUCAACAUUUUAAAUG